rnacentral:rRNA from 1 species
CCUACGGGGGGCAGCAGUGGGGAAUAUUUGACAAUGGGGGGAACCCUGAUCCAGCGACGCCGCGUGAGUGAAGAAGUAUUUCGGUAUGUAAAGCUCUAUCAUCAGGGAAGAAAAUGACGGUACCUGACUAAGAAGCCCCGGCUAACUACGUGCCAGCAGCCGCGGUAAUACGUAGGGGGCAAGCGUUAUCCGGAUUUACUGGGUGUAAAGGGUCGUGGACGGGUGCAGCAAGUUUGAUGUGAAAGUCCGGGGCCCAACCCGGGGACUGCAUUGGAAACUGUUGAACUGGAGAACAGGAGAGGUAAGUGGAAUUCCUAGUGUAGCGGUGAAAUGCGUAGAUAUUAGGAGGAACACCAGUGGCGAAGGCGGCUUACUGGACUGUAACUGACGUUGAGGCUCGAAAGCGUGGGGAGCAAACAGGAUUAGAUACCCGAGUAGUC